rfam:TPA: Bos taurus chromosome 7, whole genome shotgun sequence.
UCCCCUGUGGCUCAGCUGGUUGAGAAUCUGCCUGCAAUGCAGAAGACCUGGGUUUGAUCCCUGGGUUGGGAA